rnacentral:lncRNA from 1 species
AAAAGAUAAAUUAGUCCAUCAAAAUUAACACCAGAGAUAAUCGAACCUAACUAAAACCUUAAGAGGAGCAAAUUUCAAGGUCUCAAACAAACACUAUCAAGUCAACCCAAGUGGGUUCACAAAUUUUGUAUAUGCAUAGAGAGGAAAAAAAAAAUUAUACAUGCCAUUUAAUCAAAUUACUUGGUUGAAUGCGAUCAGAUGCAUGUUUAAAAAUGUUUUAUUCUGCUGAUAUAUACAAAUUAACUCCAUGUACAUGUAGUAUAUUGUCUUCUAAGAAUAUAUUAUAUACAGCUUAAUCAAUUUUAGGUGUAAGUAAAUACUCAGUUGUGUACACAGGCAGUUUCAGAUCGUGACUAACAAAUUGAAAAAUACAUUCUUUGAUACUUUAAUUUCAAUAAUUUCUUAUAUAUUUGUUUUUAUAAAACUCAAAAAACUUUGUAUUUUUAUAUAGGUAAUCCAUUUCAUACAUAAAUACAUACAAAAGAAAGUGAUCCAUAUUUGAUUCAGUCCAUCAUCAAAUUUCUAUCACAUCGCUUGAAACCUCAAGGGGAAUAACUUUAUCUUCCUUGGCUUUUUUGUCGUCUAAAUAAUUUUGAUAAAUAUAUGAAAAAAAUCCCCAUAUUGCUAUUAUCAAGGCUAUAGAUUUGACCCCAUCAAUCUUGUCAUGGAAGAACAAAACAGCAAGAAUUGAAACCAAGGGUAGUACCAAGGAACCUAUUAUAUUUGCAAAUAGUGAAGAUACCUCAAAUACUAACCCUAAAAUUCCAAUGUAACAUAUUUGCCAUGUCACUGAACAACACACUAGAGUGAUUAUAUAGGACUUUUUUCCAUUUGCAAAUUCCUCCAUCUCCUUUUCCAAAAUUUUCCAUUCUCCACUUGCAAACAAUCCCACAACACAAGCACAAGUAGCAAUGAAGGAUGGGUAAAAUUGCAUGUCCAAGAUUGCAGAAAAUGUUUCUCUUUUUAUAAUUUUCUCAAAAGAAUAUUGCACAAGGGCGAGAUAUAAUGCAAAUGCAGCACAUGCACAAAGAGUGAAGAGGAAACCAAGUAUGUAUUUUUCUCUAUGAAGAUCCGUUGAGUCUUCAGAAAUGGAAUCGACGGCAAGCAAUGAAGUUGAUAUGGUAAGGAGGAAUACAGAAUUGAAUAUUAAUGCUGUAAACCUUUGAGAAUUCAAGAAGAAAGAGAAUAAUGCAUUGAAGGCUAAUUCAGUUGAGCAUAUUAGAGAAAAAGUGGAAAGAGGAAGAUAUACAAGCCCAUAUGAAUACAUCAAGUAAACCCCUUCUACAAGUAAACCAAAACCUAAGUAUAGGGCAAAAAAAUUUGGUUUGAUUAUGGAGGAAUUAUCAUUGCUGAACAUGUUUUUGAAUUGAUCAUGUGGUUUGAAGUAAAAUAUGAGUGGGAGUAGUAAGGGAAAUCCAGCUGAUUGAACAAAUGAUAUCAUCCAUUUGCUCUUACCACCUUUGUCAUAAUAUAACCUUUCCAAAAGAAGGGAAGAAGAUUGGCCUACCAAAAGGAAAAUUAUGUAGAGGAUUACACGAAACCACCAUCUAUAAUCUUUUGAUCUUGGAUCUUGAAGUUGUUGAGUGACAAUUAUAUUUAUGUCUGAGUUGGGCACUUUUAUGUUAUCUACAAAUAUUCAAGAAAAUUGAGAUUAAUUUUAUAAUUUUGUAUUUGGUGUUAACAAUGGAAACAAUAAAAUAUUGUGCAUGUGAUAAAAGGAUGUUGAGGGAUUGGAGAGAUAGGAUGGAUGUUAUAAAUUGAUUAUGUGAUAGAAAAAUAUAGAUGAAGAUAAAAUGAUGUGUCAAAUGAGUGUAUGAAAAUUUGAAGUGUUCAAAUAUCAUUUGUUGAUUAGAAAAAGUUGUUUAUAAACAUGAAAUUUAAUUCUGUUUUUAAGCAUUACAAACCCUAUUGGAGGGGAAAAAUAGCAUAUUUCCAUCAAUAAUUCAACUUUUUAUUAUAUGCUAACUUGCACCGAAGUUCCAAAUAUCUCCCUUGUUAUUUUCCUUUAAAAAAAAGUGAGUUUGAUUGAGAAACUAACCUGAACUUUGUAGAUGUGGUUCUUGAUCCAUCUCCAUUAAAAAAGAGUAAAUACUAUAAUAGAGAUGAUCAUAUUUGUUUAUAAAACAUUCCCAAAGAGGCUACAGAUGUU